AGGAAUUUAGGUUACACCAGACCAAGGGCCUUCAAAGCCCCAAGCAAGUA
rnacentral:tRNA from 1 species